AGCAGCCGCGGUAAUUCCAGCUCCAAUAGCGUAUAUUAAAGUUGUUGCAGUUAAAAAGCUCGUAGUUGAAUUUCGGGAUCAAUACGCCUGUCGUGCCUUCGGUACGUACGGGUGUAAUUGGUCUCCACCUUCUGAGGAUCCUUGAUGUCAUUAAUUUGGUGUCUUGGGGAAUCAGGACUGUUACCUUGAAAAAAUUAGAGUGUUUAAAGCAGGCAUACGCUUGAAUACAUUAGCAUGGAAUAAUGAAAUAGGACGUUCGAUUCUAUUUUGUUGGUUUCUAGGAUCGACGUAAUGAUUAAUAGGGAUAGUUGGGGGCAUUAGUAUUCAAUUGUCAGAGGUGAAAUUCUUGGAUUUAUUGAAGACUAACUACUGCGAAAGCAUUUGCCAAGGAUGUUUUCAUUAAUCAAGAACGAAAGUUAGGGGAUCGAAGACGAUCAGAUACCGUCGUAG
rnacentral:rRNA from 1 species